rnacentral:rRNA from 1 species
GGUUAAGCGACUAAGCGUACACGGUGGAUGCCCUGGCAGUCAGAGGCGAUGAAGGACGUGCUAAUCUGCGAAAAGCGCCGGCGAGGUGAUAUGAACCUUUGACCCGGCGAUGUCCGAAUGGGGAAACCCAGUGCAAUCCGUUGCACUAUCGUUAACUGAAUACAUAGGUUAACGAGGCGAACCGGGGGAACUGAAACAUCUAAGUACCCCGAGGAAAAGAAAUCAACCGAGAUUCCCCCAGUAGCGGCGAGCGAACGGGGAGCAGCCCGGAGUCUGAAUCAGCUUGUGUGUUAGUGGAACGGUCUGGAAAGUCCGACGGUACAGGGUGAUAGUCCCGUACACGAAAAUGCACAUGCUGUGAACUCGAAGAGUAGGGCGGGACACGUGGUAUCCUGUCUGAAUAUGGGGGGACCAUCCUCCAAGGCUAAAUACUCCUGACUGACCGAUAGUGAACCAGUACCGUGAGGGAAAGGCGAAAAGAACCCCGGCGAGGGGAGUGAAAAAGAACCUGAAACCGUGUACGUACAAGCAGUGGGAGCCUCUUUAUGGGGUGACUGCGUACCUUUUGUAUAAUGGGUCAGCGACUUAUAUUCUGUAGCAAGGUUAACCGUAUAGGGGAGCCGAAGGGAAACCGAGUCUUAACUGGGCGUUAAGUUGCAGGGUAUAGACCCGAAACCCGGUGAUCUAGCCAUGGGCAGGUUGAAGGUUGGGUAACACUAACUGGAGGACCGAACCGACUAAUGUUGAAAAAUUAGCGGAUGACCUGUGGCUGGGGGUGAAAGGCCAAUCAAACCGGGAGAUAGCUGGUUCUCCCCGAAAGCUAUUUAGGUAGCGCCUCGUGAAUUCAUCUUCGGGGGUAGAGCACUGUUUCGGCUAGGGGGCCAUCCCGGCUUACCAACCCGAUGCAAACUACGAAUACCGAAGAAUGUUAUCACGGGAGACACACGGCGGGUGCUAACGUCCGUCGUGAAGAGGGAAACAACCCAGACCGCCAGCUAAGGUCCCAAAGUCAUGGUUAAGUGGGAAACGAUGUGGGAAGGCACAGACAGCCAGGAUGUUGGCUUAGAAGCAGCCAUCAUUUAAAGAAAGCGUAAUAGCUCACUGGUCGAGUCGGCCUGCGCGGAAGAUGUAACGGGGCUAAACCAUGCACCGAAGCUGCGGCAGCGACACUAUGUGUUGUUGGGUAGGGGAGCGUUCUGUAAGCCGUUGAAGGUGUGCUGUGAGGCAUGCUGGAGGUAUCAGAAGUGCGAAUGCUGACAUAAGUAACGAUAAAGCGGGUGAAAAGCCCGCUCGCCGGAAGACCAAGGGUUCCUGUCCAACGUUAAUCGGGGCAGGGUGAGUCGACCCCUAAGGCGAGGCCGAAAGGCGUAGUCGAUGGGAAACAGGUUAAUAUUCCUGUACUUGGUGUUACUGCGAAGGGGGGACGGAGAAGGCUAUGUCAGCCGGGCGACGGUUGUCCCGGUUUAAGCAUGUAGGCGGAGGUUCCAGGUAAAUCCGGUACCUUUUAACGCUGAGGUGUGAUGACGAGGCACUACGGUGCUGAAGUGAUAAAUGCCCUGCUUCCAGGAAAAGCCUCUAAGCAUCAGGUAACACGAAAUCGUACCCCAAACCGACACAGGUGGUCAGGUAGAGAAUACCAAGGCGCUUGAGAGAACUCGGGUGAAGGAACUAGGCAAAAUGGUGCCGUAACUUCGGGAGAAGGCACGCUGAUGUGUAGGUGAAGCCCCUGCGGGUGGAGCUGAGCUGAAAUCAGUCGAAGAUACCAGCUGGCUGCAACUGUUUAUUAAAAACACAGCACUGUGCAAACACGAAAGUGGACGUAUACGGUGUGACGCCUGCCCGGUGCCGGAAGGUUAAUUGAUGGGGUUAGCGGCAACGCGAAGCUCUUGAUCGAAGCCCCGGUAAACGGCGGCCGUAACUAUAACGGUCCUAAGGUAGCGAAAUUCCUUGUCGGGUAAGUUCCGACCUGCACGAAUGGCGUAAUGAUGGCCAGGCUGUCUCCACCCGAGACUCAGUGAAAUUGAACUCGCUGUGAAGAUGCAGUGUACCCGCGGCAAGACGGAAAGACCCCGUGAACCUUUACUAUAGCUUGACACUGAACACUGGUCCUUGAUGUGUAGGAUAGGUGGGAGGCUUUGAAGCGUGGACGCCAGUCUGCGUGGAGCCAACCUUGAAAUACCACCCUUUAAUGGCUGGUGUUCUAACGUAGACCCGUGACCCGGGUUGCGGACAGUGUCUGGUCUGGUGGGUAGUUUGACUGGGGCGGUCUCCUCCCAAAGAGUAACGGAGGAGCACGAAGGUUGGCUAAUCCUGGUCGGACAUCAGGAGGUUAGUGCAAUGGCAUAAGCCAGCUUGACUGCGAGCGUGACGGCGCGAGCAGGUGCGAAAGCAGGUCAUAGUGAUCCGGUGGUUCUGAAUGGAAGGGCCAUCGCUCAACGGAUAAAAGGUACUCCGGGGAUAACAGGCUGAUACCGCCCAAGAGUUCAUAUCGACGGCGGUGUUUGGCACCUCGAUGUCGGCUCAUCACAUCCUGGGGCUGAAGUAGGUCCCAAGGGUAUGGCUGUUCGCCAUUUAAAGUGGUACGCGAGCUGGGUUUAGAACGUCGUGAGACAGUUCGGUCCCUAUCUGCCGUGGGCGCUGGAGAAUUGAGGGGGGCUGCUCCUAGUACGAGAGGACCGGAGUGGACGCAUCACUGGUGUUCGGGUUGUCAUGCCAAUGGCACUGCCCGGUAGCUAAAUGCGGAAGAGAUAAGUGCUGAAAGCAUCUAAGCACGAAACUUGCCCCGAGAUGAGUUCUCCCUGAGACCUUGAGUCUCCUGAAGGAACGUUAAAGACUAUGACGUUGAUAGGUCGGGUGUGUAAGCGCAGCGAUGCGUUGAGCUAACCGAUACUAAUGAACCGUGAGGCUUAACCUU